AAAGUGUAUGGUCCCAAGAGCAGUGUAUGGGAGCACCAGUUCUACAUUCCUGUCAAAUGAGGGGAUUGUGAGACUUAAAAUUCACCAUUCUGCUUCCUACCUGCAUGGACAAGAGAAACCUGGCAUGGAAUGGGGGCCUUAACGAUGACGACCUGAGUCAACAGAAAUGAUACACUAGACGGAGAACCAGGAGGAAGUGAGGCUGCUAGAGUUCGCUUCUACGUAUGUACACACACACACACACACACACACACACACACACACACACACCCCUUCCAUACUUAGUAAUCAGUGGGGGAAGUGCAGGAAAUCAUAAGUAGGUUAAAUUGCUUUUUUGUUUUAAUGCUCUCCUUUGUUUGCAUUUGUCCUGGUUUGGAAAACCCCUCUCUGUAUGGGGACAAUUAAAGGUGCGCUGAGAGACUACAGCUUAAAGAGCUCUCUCAGACAGAGCCUUUUG
ensembl:lncRNA